AAGCGAAACCACCCUGGUAUUCCGGGGCGGUCUGCCGGACGUGGUUGUCCGGUAUUGAUGAGCAGCCAACC
rnacentral:hammerhead_ribozyme from 1 species